CCUACGGGAGGCAGCAGUGAGGAAUAUUGGUCAAUGGACGAGAGUCUGAACCAGCCAAGUAGCGUGAAGGAUGACUGCCCUAUGGGUUGUAAACUUCUUUUAUAUGGGAAUAAAAUGUUCCACGUGUGGGAUUUUGUAUGUACCAUAUGAAUAAGGAUCGGCUAACGCCGUUCCAGCAGCCGCGGUAAUACGGAGGAUCCGAGCGUUAUCCGGAUUUAUUGGGUUUAAAGGGAGCGUAGGUGGAUUGUUAAGUCAGUUGUGAAAGUUUGCGGCUCAACCGUAAAAUUGCAGUUGAAACUGGCAGUCUUGAGUACAGUAGAGGUGGGCGGAAGUCGUGGUGUAGCGGUGAAAUGCUUAGAUAUCACGAAGAACUCCGAUUGCGAAGGCAGUUCACUGGACUGCAACUGACACUGAGGCUCGAAAGUGUGGGUAUCAAACAGGAUUAGAUACCCUAGUAGUC
rnacentral:rRNA from 1 species